UCAGCAAGACGCUUCUGAAUGGUGCACAUGUGGAAAUUGUGCAACAAUGCCGUCAGAGUCUGAGAACUUAUGCUGCCAGGAGGUACCACAGGUUACAAGACGACUGCAACAGCUGGAAGAAAGGCCUCCAUGUAUGAUAGACCAUCCAGGUUUAGAACCUGUUUGCCUAAAUGUGUUCUCACUGCAGAAUGCAUGCAACAUUUACAGGGCUGACUACGGUCCUUUACAGCUACGGGGAAUAGAGCAUCGUUACAGGUAUUUAGCCUACAGAAGUUUUGUGAGCUGGUGCUGGGGCUUCCUUGGUCGAAAAAUACGGGUAGUGAUCCCCUCGUGUGUCGUACUUCGGAUACGACGGGAGUUUCCAGACGCCCAGGGAAGAUACGUAGGCUUCAAACUCCCGCCCCUUGAUUGAAUCUGGAGACGUAGCUGGCGAUGACCUCCUCCUUGUCUGGAUGCUCAUAUUCUGAAGACGGGUCCGGCGGGAUGUUUAGCUUCAGAAUCUCGUCUCCAUAUGAUGAUGAAAAAGUUAAUCACUAAUAUAAUUUACUACAUUAUUUAACAACUAUUCAUAUUGACAUUAUGCACGUGAAAUUUUAGUUUCUCAGGUAUUUAAGUAAGUUUGUUUGGUUUUAUUUAUCGUGUUAAGUACUAUUGCAAUACUUUGCCAUGUUCAAUGUGAAUGUUUGUUUUUGAGUAAAAAAAAAAAAAACAA